GACGAACGCUGGCGGCGUGCUUAACACAUGCAAGUCGAACGGAAAGGCCCCCUUGUGGGGUACUCGAGUGGCGAACGGGUAAGUAACACGUGAGUAACCUACCCUUGACUUUGGGAUAACUUCAGGAAACUGGGGCUAAUACCGGAUAGGAGCUCCUGCUGCAUGGUGGGGGUUGGAAAGUUUCGGCGGUUGGGGAUGGACUCGCGGCUUAUCAGCUUGUUGGUGGGGUAGUGGCUCACCAAGGCUUUGACGGGUAGCCGGCCUGAGAGGGUGACCGGCCACAUUGGGACUGAGAUACGGCCCAGACUCCUACGGGAGGCAGCAGUGGGGAAUAUUGCACAAUGGGCGGAAGCCUGAUGCAGCAACGCCGCGUGCGGGAUGACGGCCUUCGGGUUGUAAACCGCUUUCGCCUGUGACGAAGCGUGAGUGACGGUAAUGGGUAAAGAAGCACCGGCUAACUACGUG
rnacentral:rRNA from 1 species